rnacentral:rRNA from 1 species
GACAGAGGGUGCAAACGUUGUUCGGAAUUACUGGGCGUAAAGCGUGUGUAGGCGGCUUUGCGAGUCGGAUGUGAAAGCCCCGGGCUCAACCCGGGAAGUGCACUCGAUACUGCAGAGCUUGAGUGUCGGAGAGGUUGGUGGAAUUCUCGGUGUAGAGGUGAAAUUCGUAGAUAUCGAGAGGAACACCGGCGGCGAAGGCGGCCAACUGGACGAACACUGACGCUGAGACACGAAAGCGUGGGGAGCAAACAGG